rnacentral:rRNA from 1 species
GACCUGCGGAGGAUCAUUAUUGAAUACUCUUGAUGGGUUGUAGCUGGCUCUUCGGGGCAUGUGCACACUUGUCUUGACUUUAUUCAUCCACCUGUGCACCUUUUGUAGUCUUGUGGGUUGAGAGCAGUCGACUAUCGGAUGGCUAUGGCCUUUCCGGACGUGAGGAAUGCUGAGUGCGAAAGCAUACAGCUCUUCUCAAAUGACUUGCAAAACCUCCUCUCCCUCAAGUACUAUGUAUUCAUAUACCACAUAGUAUGUUGUCGAAUGUGAUCAAUGGGCCUAUGUGCCUAUAAAAAUCAUAUACAACUUUCAGCAACGGAUCUCUUGGCUCUCGCAUCGAUGAAGAACGCAGCGAAAUGCGAUAAGUAAUGUGAAUUGCAGAAUUCAGUGAAUCAUCGAAUCUUUGAACGCACCUUGCGCUCCUUGGUAUUCCGAGGAGCAUGCCUGUUUGAGUGUCAUUAAAUUCUCAACCCCUCCAGCUUUUUCGAGUUGUGAUGGGGCUUGGAUAUGGGAGUUUGCGGGUCUUUAUUAAUAAAGGUCAGCUCUCCUGAAAUACAUUAGCGGAACCGUUUGCAGUCCCGUCACUAGUGUGAUAAUUAUCUACACUGUGAUGAUUGCUCUCUGACUAGUUCAGCUGCUAAUCGUCCACUAUGGACAAUACUUAAUGAACUUCUUGACCUCAAAUCAGGUAGGACUACCCGCUGAACUUAAGCAUAUCAAUAAGCGGAGGA